rnacentral:rRNA from 1 species
AUUGAACGCUGGCGGCAGGCCUAACACAUGCAAGUCGAACGGUAACAGGAAGAAGCUUGCUUCUUUGCUGACGAGUGGCGGACGGGUGAGUAAUGUCUGGGAAACUGCCUGAUGGAGGGGGAUAACUACUGGAAACGGUAGCUAAUACCGCAUAACGUCGCAAGACCAAAGAGGGGGACCUUCGGGCCUCUUGCCAUCGGAUGUGCCCAGAUGGGAUUAGCUAGUAGGUGGGGUAACGGCUCACCUAGGCGACGAUCCCUAGCUGGUCUGAGAGGAUGACCAGCCACACUGGAACUGAGACACGGUCCAGACUCCUACGGGAGGCAGCAGUGGGGAAUAUUGCACAAUGGGCGCAAGCCUGAUGCAGCCAUGCCGCGUGUAUGAAGAAGGCCUUCGGGUUGUAAAGUACUUUCAGCGGGGAGGAAGGGAGUAAAGUUAAUACCUUUGCUCAUUGACGUUACCCGCAGAAGAAGCACCGGCUAACUCCGUGCCAGCAGCCGCGGUAAUACGGAGGGUGCAAGCGUUAAUCGGAAUUACUGGGCGUAAAGCGCACGCAGGCGGUUUGUUAAGUCAGAUGUGAAAUCCCCGGGCUCAACCUGGGAACUGCAUCUGAUACUGGCAAGCUUGAGUCUCGUAGAGGGGGGUAGAAUUCCAGGUGUAGCGGUGAAAUGCGUAGAGAUCUGGAGGAAUACCGGUGGCGAAGGCGGCCCCCUGGACGAAGACUGACGCUCAGGUGCGAAAGCGUGGGGAGCGAACAGGAUUAGAUACCCUGGUAGUCCACGCCGUAAACGAUGUCGACUUGGAGGUUGUGCCCUUGAGGCGUGGCUUCCGGAGCUAACGCGUUAAGUCGACCGCCUGGGGAGUACGGCCGCAAGGUUAAAACUCAAAUGAAUUGACGGGGGCCCGCACAAGCGGUGGAGCAUGUGGUUUAAUUCGAUGCAACGCGAAGAACCUUACCUGGUCUUGACAUCCACGGAAGUUUUCAGAGAUGAGAAUGUGCCUUCGGGAACCGUGAGACAGGUGCUGCAUGGCUGUCGUCAGCUCGUGUUGUGAAAUGUUGGGUUAAGUCCCGCAACGAGCGCAACCCUCAUCCUUUGUUGCCAGCGGUCCGGCCGGGAACUCAAAGGAGACUGUUAGUGAUAAACUGGAGGAAGGUGGGGAUGACGUCAAGUCAUCAUGGCCCUUACGACCAGGGCUACACACGUGCUACAAUGGCGCAUACAAAGAGAAGCGACCUCGCGAGAGCAAGCGGACCUCAUAAAGUGCGUCGUAGUCCGGAUUGGAGUCUGCAACUCGACUCCAUGAAGUCGGAAUCGCUAGUAAUCGUGGAUCAGAAUGCCACGGUGAAUACGUUCCCGGGCCU